ensembl:rRNA 5S_rRNA 5S ribosomal RNA
GUCUACAGCCAUACCACCCUAAACGGACCCAAUCUCAGCUGAUCUCGGAAGUUAAGCAGGGUCGGGCCUGCUUAGUGCUUGGAUGGGAGGACGUCAGACACAGGUCUCAAUGGGCU